rnacentral:rRNA from 1 species
UACGGAGGGUGCGAGCGUUGUCCGGAAUCACUGGGCGUAAAGGGCGCGUAGGCGGCGCGGCUAGUCGGCGGUGAAAGCCCGGAGCUCAACUCCGGGUCGGCCGUCGAUACUUCCGGGCUUGAGCACUGUAGAGGCAGAUGGAAUUCCGGGUGUAGCGGUGGAAUGCGUAGAGAUCCGGAAGAACACCGGUGGCGAAGGCGGUCUGCUGGGCAGUUGCUGACGCUGAUGCGCGACAGCGUGGGGAGCAAACAGG